rnacentral:rRNA from 1 species
UACGAAGGGGGCUAGCGUUGUUCGGAUUUACUGGGCGUAAAGCGCACGUAGGCGGAUCGUUAAGUCGGGGGUGAAAUCCUGGAGCUCAACUCCAGAACUGCCUUCGAUACUGGCGAUCUUGAGUCCGGAAGAGGUGAGUGGAACUCCUAGUGUAGAGGUGAAAUUCGUAGAUAUUCGCAAGAACACCAGUGGCGAAGGCGGCUCACUGGCCCGGUACUGACGCUGAGGCGCGAAAGCGUGGGGAGCAAACAGG